rnacentral:rRNA from 1 species
AAUGAACGUUGGCGGCGUGGAUUAGGCAUGCAAGUCGAGCGAGAACCCAGCAAUGGGGGACGGCGGCGCAAGGGACAGUAAUGUGUAGAUCAUCUGCCCUCAGGCCCGGGAUAGCUGCGGGAAACUGCAGGUAAUACCGGAUAACAUCUCCGGAUCAAAGGUGUGAUUCCGCCUGAGGAUGAGUCUACAUCCUAUUAGCUAGUUGGCAGGGUAACGGCCUACCAAGGCGAUGAUGGGUAGCGGGUGUGAGAGCACGACCCGCGUCAUUGGGACUGAGACACUGCCCAGACACCUACGGGUGGCUGCAGUCGAGAAUCUUCGGCAAUGGGCGCAAGCCUGACCGAGCGACGCCGCGUGCGGGAUGAAGGCCUUCGGGUUGUAAACCGCUGUCAGAGGGGAUGAAAUGCAGGUGGGUUCUCCCAUCUGUUUGACAUAGCCUCAGAGGAAGGACGGGCUAAGUUCGUGCCAGCAGCCGCGGUAAUAC